rnacentral:rRNA from 1 species
AUGAAUUGGAUCUCCAUGCUCCUUUCCUCUGGUACUUCUUCAGUGUUGCUCAAUGGGGUGCCAGGAAAAUUCUUUCAUUGCAAUCAAGGGGUCAGACAAGGAGACCCUAUCUCUCCUUUGCUAUUUGUGUUGGCAGCUGACCUACUCCAAUCCACCCUCAAUGAAGCUAUGCAAAAUCAUCUGAUUCUUCCUCCUAUUGUUAGUCAAGCUUGCCCUGACUUCCCAGUGAUUCAGUUUGCUAAUGAUACCAUCUUAGUCCUGCCAGCUGAUAUGAGACAAAUUGAGCAAGUCAAAAAUCUCCUCCUUCAUACUCUGCUUUCACAGGUCUGA